AUUACACCAUGCCGGUCUGAAUGACAAAGAUAGAUCUCUGGUUCAGGCAUUUCUGUUUUACGUCAGUAUUGGUUUGUACCAGCACAUUGGCUUGGGGCGUAAACCUUCCAGGUCAUCAUCUGGUCAUUAUUAAGGGAACAGAAUAUUAUGAUGGGAAAACAAAGAGAUAUGUUGAUUUUCCAAUAUCAAUCACAGAUAUAUUGCAAAUGAUGGUUUUGGUCACA